UGUGUGUGUGUUUGUGUCUGUGUUUGUGUCUGACUGUGUGUGUGUGUGUGUGUGUUUGUGUCUGACUGUGUGUGUGUGUGUGUGUGUUUGUGACUGUGUGUGUGUGUGUUUGUGUCUGUGUAUGUGUCUGACUGUGUGUAUGUGUCUGACUGUGUGUGUGUGUGUGUUUGUGUCUGACUGUGUGUGUGUUUGUGUCUGACUGUGUGUGUGUGUUUGUGUCUGACUGUGUGUGUGUGUCUGACUGUGUGUUUGUGUGUGUCUGACUGUGUGUGUGUGUAUUUAGAAGGUGGGGCGGGGG